UCCAUAAUACAUGUGGUGAAUUCGUCCUA
rnacentral:piRNA from 1 species